rnacentral:rRNA from 1 species
AUUGAACGCUGGCGGCAGGCCUAACACAUGCAAGUCGAGCGGCAGCGGGAAAGUAGCUUGCUACUUUUGCCGGCGAGCGGCGGACGGGUGAGUAAUGCCUGGGAAAUUGCCCAGUCGAGGGGGAUAACAGUUGGAAACGACUGCUAAUACCGCAUACGCCCUACGGGGGAAAGCAGGGGACCUUCGGGCCUUGCGCGCUUGGAUAUGCCCAGGUGGGAUUAGUUAGUUGGUGAGGUAAUGGCUCACCAAGGCGACGAUCCCUAGCUGGUCUGAGAGGAUGAUCAGCCACCCUGGAACUGAGACACGGUCCAGACUCCUACGGGAGGCAGCAGUGGGGAAUAUUGCACAAUGGGGGAAACCCUGAUGCAGCCAUGCCGCGUGUGUGAAGAAGGCCUUCGGGUUGUAAAGCACUUUCAGCGAGGAGGAAAGGUUGAUGCCUAAUACGUAUCAACUGUGACGUUACUCGCAGAAGAAGCACCGGCUAACUCCGUGCCAGCAGCCGCAGUAACAC